rnacentral:rRNA from 1 species
GUCCACGCCGUAAACGAUGGAUGCUCGGCGUCCGUGGGGGAUACCCCGUGGGCGCCUCAGCUGACGCGGAAGCAUCCCGCCUGGGAACUACGAGCGCAAGCUUAAAACUCAAAGGAAUUGACGGGGCCCGCACAAGCAGCGGAGCGUGUGGUUUAAUUCGACGCAACACGCAGAACCUUACCCAGCCUGGACAUGGACCUGCAAGCGCAAGAGAUUGCGACGCCUUCGAGGGUGGUCCACAGAUGCUGCAUGGCUGUCGU